ensembl:lncRNA
ACACGCCCUAUGCAAACCACAAGAAGGCUGGAGAAGCAGCUUUGAGAAGAGUGUGGUGAUAAAGGGUUUCACCUUUCAGUCGGAGCUCCUGAUGUCCAGGCAGCAGGAGAACGUGUGAAUCCUUAGCUGAGAAAUUCAUUUAAGGCUCCUUCCAGGCAAAGUCUACCUUGUACUCUGAUACUGCUGCAUUCAAGUACUGGUGUCACUGAUGUGCAUCUUUUCUUAACAAAGUGAUCUCAUCCAGACCAACGCCUGUCCUUUCAUUUUUUACGUUAUUUUCUUUUUUAUCUAAUCAAGGAUGUAGUGUGCCAUCGGCGCUCUGAAACGGAUGACACUGAGUCACGCACAUUUAAAGUCUCAUAUGUGAGAAAAGGCCUGAUGAGCGUAGAGACACUCGUAGUACCAGUGCCUUAAUGUAACGGUUGCAUCCAUCUGUAGCAGCUGAGGUUCACCAACAGAGGAGCCCUUCAAAUCAUUAAUCCAGUGCUAACCUGUGGAGGUGAUAUAAAGGAAAAAGCAUGAAUCUUCUACUUAACACUACAAUUUUUAUGUUGUUGACAAACUGUGAAUUUUCCAAAUCUGAGAAGGAAUAAUCACUAUUUAGCUGAAAGGAUCACAGAGCCCUGUGCUCUUGAGGAAUUCUUUCUACCUGCUCUCAGGUAAUCCCUGACACGUCUCUGUUGGAGGAUGCUGUGAAGUGUGUAGUUGUGUAAAGAAGUGUAAUUACUGAGUAUUUGUUUGGAAAACUCAGAGAAAUGCUAAAAUUUACAGUAAACCGAGACCUUUUUUUCUUUGUUUUCAACUAAAGCUGAACUUAGUGGGCUUUCUUGUGGAAAGUAUUUAAAGAUAGUUUGGUGUAUUUAAUUGUCACCGAGAAGCAAGAAUGUAUGAUGUUUGAUUUUUGAGAAGGGGGGAAAAAAAGGGAAGCUCGUGAUGUUCAAAGGGAGGAUGAAAUUUAAGGUUUAGCUGAAAGUCUGCAGACCACAGAGAGGCCGAGCUCUUGUAUUUAUUCCUGUUUUCAAAGCGGGAUCAGACGUGAAUGCUCUGAUCUGAUUAUUACAUUGCAUUAUGUAUACAGAUACAGUACUAUACCGUUGAUGGAACACUUAUUUAUGUCCACUUUGUUUGUUAUCAACACUGUGAUAUAUGUAUUUCAUUCAAUUUAUUCACUUCUUUUUACAUGAUCAUUGUGUCUGGUAAAUAAAAAAACAAAACAUGUUGUCUU